UGGUUUGGUCUUGAGGUUUGGUCCUGCUAGGGCCAACGCUGCCAGCAGCGACGUUUGUCCGCCGCUUUUUAUCUGACGUAUGUGUACUUACGUUGACCGCUCUUGGGUGUUGUGUGGUGGAUGUUCUCUGGCUGUGUCGCGUGCAACAAGAACGGUAGAAGAGUUUCUGAAUUCCGGUCGCCUCGGCAGUGGGCCAUUGGCCAGCAAAGUCGAGUUUUCCUAAACCCAUAGUUCAUACCGUGUCGUCUGGCGUGGACGUAGACCACUGUUGGGUGCUGUGUCGCGUACAACAAGAACCGUGGAAGAAUUUCUGAACCCUGUCCGCCCCGGCAGUGGGCCAUUGGCCAGCAAAGGCACACAGCGAUCGGACUGAGCAUAUCAAGUAGCCCCUCCUGUGACCCACAAGACCACACUAAUUCGGCCGAGGAGCCUGUCUGGACUUAUGUUGGGACUGCUGGCAGACAGUUUGUUUUUUCUGGACUUAUGCUGGGACUGCUGGCAGACAGUUUCGGUUUUAGUCUUCAGCUGGUGCACAGUUCACUUUUAUCAUACCGCCUCAUUUCUUUUGAGUGUAUCUGCGUUCUCUAGACAUUUAGCCUGUCUUCUU